rnacentral:piRNA from 1 species
UGGGUCCAUCAGAAUCUUGUUCUGACAUUC